GCCAGCUGCCUCCUCCACCUUGGCUGCGGCUUCAUUUAUUCAGCCUGCUGCCUCCUCCAUGCCAGGUGCAUCAGAAUCUGUGGCUUUAGAUAGUGCUGGUGUGCCAGGCAUGGACAGAGUGGACAGCCUGGCGGAGUAUCUGGUGGAGCUUAAGAAUCAGUCAUCGCUGAUCCUCACCAACCAGCAGGUGAGCAACAUAGUUGCUCUUUGGCAGAACCUGCUGGACUAUGAUAAGCAGAGGGUGGUGUUUGCUGCCAGACACCAGAGCAAGCUGGACACGGG